rnacentral:rRNA from 1 species
UGCUAUACAUGCAAGUCGAGCGGACAGAUGGGAGCUUGCUCCCUGAUGUUAGCGGCGGACGGGUGAGUAACACGUGGGUAACCUGCCUGUAAGACUGGGAUAACUCCGGGAAACCGGGGCUAAUACCGGAUGGUUGUCUGAACCGCAUGGUUCAGACAUAAAAGGUGGCUUCGGCUACCACUUACAGAUGGACCCGCGGCGCAUUAGCUAGUUGGUGAGGUAACGGCUCACCAAGGCGACGAUGCGUAGCCGACCUGAGAGGGUGAUCGGCCACACUGGGACUGAGACACGGCCCAGACUCCUACGGGAGGCAGCAGUAGGGAAUCUUCCGCAAUGGACGAAAGUCUGACGGAGCAACGCCGCGUGAGUGAUGAAGGUUUUCGGAUCGUAAAGCUCUGUUGUUAGGGAAGAACAAGUGCCGUUCAAAUAGGGCGGCACCUUGACGGUACCUAACCAGAAAGCCACGGCUAACUACGUGCCAGCAGCCGCGGUAAUACGUAGGUGGCAAGCGUUGUCCGGAAUUAUUGGGCGUAAAGGGCUCGCAGGCGGUUUCUUAAGUCUGAUGUGAAAGCCCCCGGCUCAACCGGGGAGGGUCAUUGGAAACUGGGGAACUUGAGUGCAGAAGAGGAGAGUGGAAUUCCACGUGUAGCGGUGAAAUGCGUAGAGAUGUGGAGGAACACCAGUGGCGAAGGCGACUCUCUGGUCUGUAACUGACGCUGAGGAGCGAAAGCGUGGGGAGCGAACAGGAUUAGAUACCCUGGUAGUCCACGCCGUAAACGAUGAGUGCUAAGUGUUAGGGGGUUUCCGCCCCUUAGUGCUGCAGCUAACGCAUUAAGCACUCCGCCUGGGGAGUACGGUCGCAAGACUGAAACUCAAAGGAAUUGACGGGGGCCCGCACAAACGGUGUAGCAUGUGGUUUAAUUCGAAGCAACGCGAAGA